CCUACGGGAGACAGCAGUGGGGAAUAUUGGGCAAUGGGCGCAAGCCUGACCCAGCAACGCCGCGUGAAGGAAGAAGGCUUUCGGGGUGUAAACUUCUUUUCGCAGGGACGAAGAAAGUGACGGGACCGGAGGAAUAAGCGACGGCUAACUACGGGCCAGCAGCCGCGGUAAUACGUAGGUGGCAAGAGUUAUCCGGAUUUACUUGGUGUAAAGGGCGGGUAGGGGGGGAAGCAAGUCAGAUGUGAAAACCACGGGCUCAACCUGUGGCCUGCCUUUGCAACUGUUUUUCUUGAGUACUGGGGAGGCAGCCGGAAUUCCUAGUGUAGCGGUGAAAUGCGUAGAUAUUAGG
rnacentral:rRNA from 1 species